CCCCUCACGCGCUGCACAUAGCCCAAUAACCCCCUCUUGCGCUGCACAUAGCCCAAUAACCCCUCACGCGCUGCACAUAGCCCAAUAACCCCCUCACGCGCUGCACAUAGCCCAAUAACCCCCUCACGCGCUGCACAUAGCCCAAUAACCCCCUCACGCGCUGCACAUAGCCCAAUAACCCCCUCACGCGCUGCACAUAGCCCAAUAACCCCCUCACGCGCUGCAGUUCCUUUACCACAUGGGAGACGUUGCCGCUCGUAUUGACGGGAUCUGGAAUUGUGAACGCAUCCAAGUUCCACUUUCUGUCAUUAGUGUCGUCACCGUAGUAACAGAAACUUCACUUCCUGUUGCUUGUCAUUGGCUGCACCAUUAGCAUUGUGACUUCAGUUUAUCCACGUUUUCUGACAAUUGUAACAAGAAACUAGAAGUUGAAGAGGGGAUUUAUAGACUGGGUUUAAAUAUGAACGUCACUUUACUGCCCCUAGUGGUAAACAUCUGAGCGGAGUAAUUCAUUGAUUACUUAAUGACGCAAGUCACAUAGCUACACAUCCAGGUGAUCAUCUUGUUUAUUUUUUCACCAUGUGGGGAAAAAAGCCAUGUUUGGUCUUUGCCAACGUGUUCUGCAUUGCAACAAGCAAGUGUAGGCUAGCUUUUCUUGCAUUCCAAGGUAGUUUUCUCUUCAGUAUUUACACACAGAAGUGGCAAUCUCUGUUCCUGUCUUUUAAACGCCUCAGCAGUGUUGUAAUAGAGAAGGUAUUUUGGUCCUCACUAGCCUCAAUCUCUCAUUUUCUGUAUUUGUAUCUGAGAGUCGAAGGCCACAACUCACUAUUGUGUCAUUAGGCAGCGUUUACACGGGCAUGCCAAUUCUUCAUUCUUUUUUCCCCCAGUUAUUGGCAAAGAGCUGAUCUGAUUGGUCAAAAGACCAGUUAGUGAGGAAAAUAUCAGAAUUAGGCUGCCUGUGUGAACACGGCCUUAUACUGUUGCCAUUUCUAUAGGAUCAUGUCCAAUUAUUUAGGCUCGCUGUUCAAUGUCCUACUAGCUUGAGUUCCAUUUAUACAGUAAAGUUGUGCACGUGAACUUGUCUAUUGUGAAUUCUGAUCGCCAGACUCCAUUUUGAUGUCUGUCGUGUGGUAUUAUUUCAGAUACAGAUUCUGGAUGUGCCCCAAUGUCCAUGCUAGCAUACUCCUUUGGUGCAUGCCCAAAAGUUUCAUGCUAAGUGGCAUGGUGGUUUAGUGGUCAAGAAUUUGAGCUGAAUGAUCCUGAAACUCAAUCGGCCUUUGCAAAUGAGUAAUGUGUAAUUUGCUAAUAUCUUUAGCUUUACAUUCUUAAUAGCUGAAGUCAGAGACUUUUCCCCAAGAGGUUGAAAUAGAACGUGUCAGAGAAAACGGGAUUCUCUUAUGUGGAGAUCAAAACAGCGUUCAUUCUAUACAAUGUAUUUCAAUCUGCAACAUUUUAAUUAUUUCAGUCCACAGGUAUCUGAAGUGUUAGACAAGGGAAUCGGGGGACAAAAACAGGUAUUUACACACACUGAAAGGUGUCAGACCAACACUUUGAGUGAAAACAUGCUGUUUUGUUGGUUGGAACUAUGCUAAAUGUGGUCAUUGGACACUUUCUAGUCUCAUCCCAAAUGACUGAUGUAAUAUGUGGGCUGAGAGAUGAACCCACAAUGACCCUGGUGUUGCCAGCAGGAUGAGCUAACUCAACCUCUAGGAUGAAUCCCCCUGAAGUUUCAGUGGUUACUGAGUGUAACCUAUAGGUGUCUUAUGGUAGUGUUACUUUGCCCAGGCCGGUGCAGCAAUACCAAUGUUCUAAUAGUGUUACUCAACUCUCCGGGAGUGUAGUCUCGCAGGCCCUCAAACUAAACUCUGGACCUUAAAACCGGUUCUACUGCAACUUUUCAUUGUUGCCCUCUAAUCAGGGACUGAUUUAGACCUGGGACACCAGGUGGGUGCAACUAAUUCGGGUAGAACAGAAACCCAGCCGGCUCUGGACCUCGUAGGGUAAGAGUUGAGUACCCCCUGCCCUAGGGGGACCUGUGACAGGAGUUGAGCAACACUGCUAGAAUACAUUCCACUUUGAGAAACUAGACAGCAUACCGCCAGACUAGACCCCUUGUCUAGUCACUUUAAGGUUGUUUCAUGAAUAAAGUGGCUUUUGGCUAUUC
rnacentral:lncRNA from 1 species